rnacentral:rRNA from 1 species
AUUGCAGAAUUCCGUGAAUCAUCGAGUCUUUGAACGCAAGUUGCGCCCGAGGCUUGUCCCGAGGGCAUGCCUGCCUGAGCGUC